ACCAGCUCUCCGAGUGGUGUGGAUGUUUAUUGGGCCUAAAGCAUCCGUAGCUGGCUAGGUAAGUCCCUUGUUAAAUCCACCGAAUUAAUCGUUGGAUCGCGGGGGAUACUGCUUGGCUAGGGGACGAGAGAGGCAGACGGUAUUUUCGGGGUAGGGGUGGAAACCUAGAGGCCCGGGGAGACGAAUAGUGGCGGAGGCUGUCUGCUAGAACGCGCCCGCCGGUGAGCGAUGAAAUCUGGUGGACCGAAACG
rnacentral:rRNA from 1 species